rnacentral:rRNA from 1 species
CUACGUGCCAGCAGCCGCGGUAAUACGUAGGUCCCGAGCGUUGUCCGGAUUUAUUGGGCGUAAAGCGAGCGCAGGCGGUUAGAUAAGUCUGAAGUUAAAGGCUGUGGCUUAACCAUAGUACGCUUUGGAAACUGUUUAACUUGAGUGCAAGAGGGGAGAGUGGAAUUCCAUGUGUAGCGGUGAAAUGCGUAGAUAUAUGGAGGAACACCGGUGGCGAAAGCGGCUCUCUGGCUUGUAACUGACGCUGAGGCUCGAAAGCGUGGGGAGCAAACAGGAUUAGAUACCCUGGUAGUCCACGCCGUAAACGAUGAGUGCUAGGUGUUAGACCCUUUCCGGGGUUUAGUGCCGCAGCUAACGCAUUAAGCACUCCGCCUGGGGAGUACGACCGCAAGGUUGAAACUCAAAGGAAUUGACGGGGGCCCGCACAAGCGGUGGAGUAUGUGGUUUAAUUCGACGCAACGCGAAGAACCUUACCAGGUCUU